UUGACAUCCAGAGAAUUUAGCAGAGAUGCUUUAGCGCCUUCGGGAACUCUGAGACAGGUGCUGCAUGGCUGUCGUCAGCUCGUGUUGUGAAAUGUUGGGUUAAGUCCGCAACGAGCGCAACCCUUAUCCUUUGUUGCCAGCACGUAAUGGUGGGAACUCAAAGGAGACUGCCGGUGAUAAACCGGAGGAAGGUGGGGAUGACGUCAAGUCAUCAUGGCCCUUACGAGUAGGGCUACACACGUGCUACAAUGGCGUAUACAAAGAGAAGCGACCUCGCGAGAGCAAGCGGACCUCAUAAAGUGCGUCGUAGUCCGGAUUGGAGUCUGCAACUCGACUCCAUGAAGUCGGAAUCGCUAGUAAUCGUAAAUCAGAAUGUUACGGUGAAUACGUUCCCGGGCCUUGUACACACCGCCCGUCACACCAUGGGAGUGGGUUGCAAAAGAAGUAGAUAGCUUAACCUUCGGGAGGGCGUUUACCACUUUGUGAUUCAUGACUGGGGUGAAGUCGUAACAAGGUAGGCGUAGUGCU
rnacentral:rRNA from 1 species